rnacentral:misc_RNA from 1 species
AACUGAUACUACCUGCGGGAACCUGCGGAGGGAUCAUUACUGAAGUGAUUUGGGGAUGUUGCUGGCCCUCUCUCAAGGGGGGGCACUGUGCACUCCUCGAAACAAUUCACAAUUUCCAUCACACCCCUUGUGCACACCUUGUAGGCACCCAAACCCACCUCCGGGUGGUGGGGUCCUAUGUAUUCCUUCAUCUCACACUCUGUUGAAUGGUGCCAUGGGACGCAUCUAAAGGAUUAUUCG